GCAGACACAUUCCAGCCAAUCGGCAGCAGACCCUCCCUCCCAGACCCUUCCACCUCCUGGACAGCUCACUAAGAAUGCAGCUUCACAAUGAAUGUAAAAUGGAUGCUGUCCAGGAGGUGGGAGGGUCUGGGAGGGAGGGUCUGCUGCUGAUUGGCUGCAAUGUGUCUG